GAAUCCUAUCUCAGCAUUCAUGGGUUUUAAGCAUUUGACCAGAAGGUGUCCUUGAAUCUCAAUGUCACCAUGUGUAUAAUUGAGGGUUCCUUGGAAAGAAGGUCCUGUGCAGGUGAAGAGCCCUGAACCUCAGCGAUCUCACAGAAGGCAGAUCUCUGAGCAGAAACUACCACGUUUGGAAGAUGAGAAUGGAUAGAACCAAAGUCGUUGACGUCAAGCCCUGCCUGGGACAGGACCCACGGCUGACUUUUCUCGGAGGGCCUGAUGCUUCCUGUCCGGACUUACUCUGACACCCAGCUGAAACUGCUCCUGCCCCGGUGUCCCUGGCACGCUACCCUCCAGCCAGAGGAGCAGGCAGGCGCA